rnacentral:rRNA from 1 species
AUCAUGGAGAGUUUGAUUCUGGCUCAGAACGAACGCUGGCGGCGCGUUUUAAACAUGCAAGUCGUACGAGAAUCCCGGUGCUUGCAUUGGGAGGAGAGUGGCGAACGGGUGAGUAACACGUGGAUAAUCUACCUCUAGGAUUGGGAUAACUACUCGAAAGGGUGGCUAAUACCGGAUAAGAUGGUAGCUGCAUAAGCAGCAGCCAUUAAAGAUGGGGACCGCAAGGCCUAUCACCUGGAGAUGAGUCCGCGGCCCAUUAGCUUGUUGGCGGGGUAACGGCCCACCAAGGCUACGAUGGGUAGCCGGCCUGAGAGGGUGACCGGCCACAUUGGGACUGAGAUACGGCCCAGACUCCUACGGGAGGCAGCAGUUAAGAAUCUUGCGCAAUGGGGGCAACCCUGACGCAGCGACGCCGCGUGGACGAUGAAGGCCUUCGGGUUGUAAAGUCCGAUAAGCAGGGAAGAAUAAGCAGCGGGAAAUAUUCGCUGUGAUGACGGUACCUGCCUAAAGCCCCGGCUAACUACGUGCCAGCAGCCGCGGUAAUACGUAUGGGGCUAGCGUUGUUCGGAAUUAUUGGGCGUAAAGGGCGUCUAGGCGGGGAAUUAAGUUAGGUGUGAAAUCCCUGGGCUCAACCCAGGAACUGCAUCUAAAACUGGUUCUCUUGAGUUCGGGAGAGGAGAGCGGAAUUCCCGGUGUAGCGGUGAAAUGCGUAGAUAUCGGGAAGAACACCAGUGGCGAAGGCGGCUCUCUGGCCUAGAACUGACGCUGAAGCGCG